GAUGAACGCUGGCGGCGUGCCUAAUACAUGCAAGUCGAGCGAACGGACGAGAAGCUUGCUUCUCUGAUGUUAGCGGCGGACGGGUGAGUAACACGUGGAUAACCUACCUAUAAGACUGGGAUAACUUCGGGAAACCGGAGCUAAUACCGGAUAAUAUUUUGAACCGCAUGGUUCAAUAGUGAAAGACGGUCUUGCUGUCACUUAUAGAUGGAUCCGCGCUGCAUUAGCUAGUUGGUAAGGUAACGGCUUACCAAGGCAACGAUGCAUAGCCGACCUGAGAGGGUGGUCGGCCACACGGGAACUGAGACACGGUCCAGACUCCUAAGGGAGGCAGCAGUAGGGAAUCUUCCGCAAUGGGCGAAAGCCUGACGGAGCAACGCCGCGUGAGUGAUGAAGGUCUUCGGAUCGUAAAACUCUGUUAUUAGGGAAGAACAUAUGUGUAAGUAACUGUGCACAUCUUGACGGUACCUAAUCAGAAAGCCACGGCUAACUACGUG
rnacentral:rRNA from 1 species